rnacentral:rRNA from 1 species
GACGAACGCUGGCGGCGUGCUUAACACGUGCAAGUCGAACGGAAAGGCCUGCUUUCCCUUGUGGAUUGCGGGUACUCGAGUGGCGAACGGGUGAGUAACACGUUAGUGAUCUGCCCCCAACUUGGGUAUAAGCCUGGGAAACUGGGUCUAAUUCCCGAUAGGACUGCAGGGUGGUGCCUGUGGUGGAAAACGAUUUUCUAGUGGUUGGGGAUGAGCUCGCGGCCUAUCAGCUUGUUGGUGGGGUAAUGGCCUACCAAGGCGGCGACGGGUAGCCGGCCUGAGAGGGUGGACGGCCACAUUGGGACUGAGAUACGGCCCAGACUCCUACGGGAGGCAGCAGUGGGGAAUAUUGCACAAUGGGCGGAAGCCUGAUGCAGCGACGCCGCGUGGGGGAUGACGGCCUUCGGGUUGUAAACUCCUUUCGACCGCGAGGAAGCCACCUGGUUGGAAGGGUGGUGACGGUAGUGGUAGAAGAAGCACCGGCUAACUACGUG